rnacentral:rRNA from 1 species
GCCCGCUCAGAACUCAAGGAAUUGACGGGGCCGCACAAGCGGUGGAGUAUGUGGUUUAAUUCGAUGCAACGCGAAGAACCUUACCUGGUCUUGACAUCCCGGAGACCCUUAGGAAACUAGGGGGUGCUUCCAUCUGGAAGAAUCUGGAGACAGGUGCUGCAUGGCUGUCGUCAGCUCGUGUCGUGAGAUGUUGGGUUAAGUCCCGCAACGAGCGCAACCCUUGCCUUUAGUUGCCAGCAGUUCGGCUGGGCACUCUAAAGGGACUGCCGGUGUUAAACCGGAGGAAGGUGGGGAUGACGUCAAGUCCUCAUGGCCUUUAUGACCAGGGCUACACACGUACUACAAUGGCCGAUACAAAGGGCAGCGACACUGCGAGGUGAAGCCAAUCCCGUAAAAUCGGUCUCAGUCCGGAUUGGAGUCUGCAACUCGACUCCAUGAAGUUGGAAUCGCUAGUAAUCGUGGAUCAGCAUGCCACGGUGAAUACGUUCCCGGGCCUU